UUAUAAGAGACAGCAGUAGCCACGGGAAUACGUAGGUGGCAAGCGUUGUCCGGAAUUAUUGGGCGUAAAGGGCUCGCAGGCGGUUUCUUAAGUCUGAUGUGAAAGCCCCCGGCUCAACCGGGGAGGGUCAUUGGAAACUGGGAAACUUGAGUGCAGAAGAGGAGAGUGGAAUUCCACGUGUAGCGGUGAAAUGCGUAGAGAUGUGGAGGAACACCAGUGGCGAAGGCGACUCUCUGGUCUGUAACUGACGCUGAGGAGCGAAAGCGUGGGGAGCGAACAGGAUUAGAUACCCCGGUAGUCCCUGUCUCUUAUAC
rnacentral:rRNA from 1 species